rnacentral:lncRNA from 1 species
AACCCAGCAUCGAACUGCUUCUGAACCUCUUCCUUGAUUUUCACUGCCAUAUCAGGACUUGUUCUACGAAGCUUCUGUUUGACCGAAGGACAAUCAUCUUUGAGAGGUAGUCUAUGAACCACAAUAUCAGUAUUCAGCCCAGCAUAUCUUGAUAAGACCAGGCGAAUAUCUCCAUAUACUCUCUCAGCAUCUCAAUCAACCUGUUCUUGACCUCAGGUUUCAAAGCA